AUUGAACGCUGGCGGAAUGCUUUACACAUGCAAGUCGAACGGCAGCACGGGGCAACCUGGUGGCGAGUGGCGAACGGGUGAGUAAUACAUCGGAACGUGCCCAAUCGUGGGGGAUAACGUAGCGAAAGUUACGCUAAUACCGCAUACGAUCUACGGAUGAAAGCGGGGGAUCGCAAGACCUCGCGCGAAUGGAGCGGCCGAUGUCAGAUUAGGUAGUUGGUGGGGUAAAGGCUCACCAAGCCAACGAUCUGUAGCUGGUCCGAGAGGACGACCAGGCACACUGGGACUGGGACACGGCCCAGACUCCUACGGGAGGCAGCAGUGGGGAAUUUUGGACAAUGGGCGCAAGCCUGAUCCAGCCAUUCCGCGUGCAGGAUGAAGGCCUUCGGGUUGUAAACUGCUUUUGUACGGAACGAAACGGUUCUCUCUAAUACAGGGGGCUAAUGACGGUACCGUAAGAAUAAGCACCGGCUAACUACGUGCCAGCAGCCGCGGUAAUAC
rnacentral:rRNA from 1 species